AUGAACGCUGGCGGCGUGCUUAACACAUGCAAGUCGAACGAAGCACCAUGGACAGAAUUUUUCGGAAGGACGACUAUGGCGACUUAGUGGCGGACGGGUGAGUAACGCGUGGGUAACCUGCCCUGUACUGGGGGACAACAGUUGGAAACGACUGCUAAUACCGCAUAAGCGCACAGCAUCGCAUGAUGCAGUGUGAAAAACUCCGGUGGUACAGGAUGGACCCGCGUCUGAUUAGCUAGUUGGUGAGGUAACGGCUUACCAAGGCAACGAUCAGUAGCCGACUUGAGAGAGUGAUCGGCCACAUUGGGACUGAGACACGGCCCAAACUCCUACGGGAGGCAGCAGUGGGGAAUAUUGCACAAUGGGGGAAACCCUGAUGCAGCGACGCCGCGUGAAGGAAGAAGUAUUUCGGUAUGUAAACUUCUAUCAGCAAGGAAGAAAAUGACGGUACUUGACUAAGAAGCCC
rnacentral:rRNA from 1 species